rnacentral:rRNA from 1 species
UACGUAGGGGGCAAGCGUUGUCCGGAAUCAUUGGGCGUAAAGAGCGUGUAGGCGGCUCGGUAAGUCCGCUCUGAAAGCCCGGGGCUCAACCCCGGGAGGCGGGCGGAUACUGUCGGGCUAGAGUCCGGAAGAGGCGAGUGGAAUUCCUGGUGUAGCGGUGAAAUGCGUAGAUAUCGGGAGGAACACCAGUGGCGAAGGCGACUUCCUGGCCUGUUCUUGACGCUGAGGCGCGAAAGCUAGGGGAGCAAACGGG